UCUUUAAGUCAAAUAAGGAUGAAAAAAAGUUAGAGUCAAAUUGAAAUUCAAAAUGAUUUGAAUUGCAAUAAAAUCCAGCUCUUAUCCUGUCUUAUCUGAUUUGUGCGAUAACUAUAAAAAGGUCACAAUUUUGUGUGCCAACAAGAGAGAGCUUUUCACUGUGAGAUAUCAGAGAGAAAGAGAGGCCAAAAUCCUUCUUUGGGGCAUAAGGUUUGGGUGGUUUUCUUUCUUUCUUGGCAUGAACAAAAGAAAAGAUCGUUCUCCUCUCGGGUGAG
rnacentral:lncRNA from 1 species